UACGUAGGGUGCGAGCGUUAAUCGGAAUUACUGGGCGUAAAGCGUGCGUAGGCGGUUUGCCGUGUCCUGUGUGAAAGCCCCGGGCUCAACCUGGGAAUUGCAUGGGAAACUGGCAGGCUUGAGUGUGGCAGAGGAGGGUGGAAUUCCGCGUGUAGCGGUGAAAUGCGCAGAUAUCGGGAGGAACACCAAUUGCGAAGGCAGCUCGCUGGGACGUUACUGACGCUGAGACGCGAAAGCGUGGGGAGCAAACAGG
rnacentral:rRNA from 1 species